AUUGAACGCUGGCGGCAGGCUUAACACAUGCAAGUCGAGCGGGGAAAAGUAGCUUGCUACUGGACCUAGCGGCGGACGGGUGAGUAAUGCUUAGGAAUCUGCCUAUUAGUGGGGGACAACAUCUCGAAAGGGAUGCUAAUACCGCAUACGUCCUACGGGAGAAAGCAGGGGACCUUCGGGCCUUGCGCUAAUAGAUGAGCCUGAGUCGGAUUAGCUAGUUGGUGGGGUAAAGGCCUACCAAGGCGACGAUCUGUAGCGGGUCUGAGAGGAUGAUCCGCCACACUGGGACUGAGACACGGCCCAGACUCCUACGGGAGGCAGCAGUGGGGAAUAUUGGACAAUGGGCGCAAGCCUGAUCCAGCCAUGCCGCGUGUGUGAAGAAGGCCUUAUGGUUGUAAAGCACUUUAAGCGAGGAGGAGGCUACUUUAGUUAAUACCUAGAGAUAGUGGACGUUACUCGCAGAAUAAGCACCGGCUAACUCUGUGCCAGCCGCCGCCGUAAUAC
rnacentral:rRNA from 1 species